GUAGUCUCGCACAGAUGCAUAUCAAUAAGCGGAGGAAAAGAAACUAACAAGGAUUCACUUAGUAACGGCGAGUGAAGCGGGAAGAGCUCAAAUUUGAAAUCUUCAAGGUUUUACCUUGACGAAUUGUAGUUUAAAGAAGUGUUUUCUGUUGAAGUUUUGGUAAAAGUUCUUUGGAAUAGGACAUCAUAGAGGGUGAGAAUCCCGUAUUUGACCAUUAUUUUCAGCUGUGUGAUACACUUUCAAAGAGUCGGAUUGUUCGGGAAUGCAGUCCAAAAUGGGUGGUAAAUUUCAUCUAAAGCUAAAUAUUGGCGAGAGACCGAUAGCGAACAAGUACCGUGAGGGAAAGAUGAAAAGAACUUUGAAAAGAGAGUUAAAUAGUACGUGAAAUUGUCAAAAGGGAAGCGUUUGACACCAGUGUUGUUUUCUCGAAAAUCAAUUAAAAAGAGUUAGAUUUUGUUGUGUAUUGACCUUAACAGCUUGCAUUUCAAUUUUCUUGCUUUUUUUAAUGCACUUUUCGUUUAACAAGUCAACAUCAGUUUCUUUGUUGUAAAAAGGUCAUUGGGAGGUGGCUUUCUUUUCGGAGAAAGUGUUUAUAGCCUUUGACUCCUGCAAUCGGAGAGACUGAGGUCUGCAGCGUAGAUCCUUCGGGGUUAGAUACAUUUGUGCUAAGUUAUAGCUUUUUAUAGAUAACUUGUUGACUAUGAUUAGUCUUGUAGCUUACUCGCUUAUGCUAUUUUACCUACGCUUAGGAUGUUGAAGAUGUAGCACAUCAU
rnacentral:rRNA from 1 species